AUGGAUUCACAUGGAUCCCAUCACCAGUCUUACAACGGCGGCGAAAGGAGAGUGGAUGUUGUGAUGAGCGGGAAAGGCUAUGGCUCAAGAGAAAUUUGGUCACCAAAUUCAUCUCAGCAGAAUGAAAAGUCAUGGAGUUUCAACAAUCCAGAAGCAAAGAGAAAGAAAAGGAUAGCCAAAUACAAGGUUCACAGCGUAAAAGGUAAAGUUAAAGCUACACUUCAGAAUGGACUUCGAUGGAUCAAGAAAAAAUGCUCUCAAAUUAGCCACGGUUACAAAUAA